rnacentral:rRNA from 1 species
UGCCAGCCGCCGCGGUAAUACGGAGGGUGCAAGCGUUAAUCGGAAUUACUGGGCGUAAAGCGCGCGUAGGUGGCUUAUUAAGUCAGAUGUGAAAGCCCUGGGCUUAACCUAGGAACUGCAUUUGAUACUGAUUCGCUAGAGUAUGGUAGAGGGAAGUGGAAUUCCACAUGUAGCGGUGAAAUGCGUAGAGAUGUGGAGGAACACCAGUGGCGAAGGCGGCUGCCUGGCUCAAUACUGACACUGAGGUGCGAAAGCGUGGGGAGCAAACGGGAUUAGAUA